UGAAAAAUAAAUGUGCAGUUGUAUGAUGGAGUAGUAUCUAUAUCGGUAGUAAUAUAAAAACUUUGUUUAUUUUGUACACGCUAAUAUCAGGAACUACUGGCCCGAAUUAAAUAAUUCGUUUUAUAUUGGAUAGUGCAUUUACCAAAGAAUGCUAUAUAUACGGUGUAACAAAAAGGGGGUAUACAUAUCUUGUGCAUGAUUUCUAGAUAACGUAACAAACGAUACGGGAAGGGUUUUUAAACUCAUGUUUUCAUGGAAUGAAGUUAUGAAUUUGUCCAAUACAUAAAAUUCUAGAAAGCAAACAUUUGGAAAUUAAAUCAAUACAUAACUAACAAGAAGUCAGCUGAUCGGUGUCAGUGCAAGUGCACUCACUGUUCUUAAAUAAAAACAAACCCCUUACUCCUGAUAUUUCUCCGAACAAAGAAAAAAAGGUCCCGGAUAUUUAUUUUUCGGAAAAUAUUCUUUUUUCUUAUAAAUAGUUUUAAGAAGAAAGUUCUUCAUAAAAAACUAAGAAUAGUAGACAAACUAAGCCAAAACCUAGAGCGAGUACAAUUUCGGACAUUAAUUGUAAAGAAAAGUUUAAUUGUGGGAGAGCCAUGCUUCGGCACGAAUGGGCCGGCUCGACCGGAGUGAUACCAUGACCUCACAGAAAACCGACGUGAAACAACGCUUGCGUUGUUUCGUUGUGUGAGUGAGGUUACCGGAUGCCCAAUUCCCCCCUUCCCAAUCUUCCCCAUCCCCAUUCCCGAACAACAACCCUUAAAUUCUUAACUCCCAAAAAGCCGGUAACGCACUUGUAAAGCCUCUGGUGUUUCAAGUGUCCAUGGGCGGCGGCGAUUGCUUACCAUCAGGUAAUACGUCUGCUCGAUUAUC